GAUCCUGGCUCAGGACGAACGCUGGCGGCGCGCCUAACACAUGCAAGUCGAACGAGAGAGAGGGAGCUUGCUUCCUCAAUCGAGUGGCGAACGGGUGAGUAACGCGUGAGGAACCUGCCUCAAAGAGGGGGACAACAGUUGGAAACGGCUGCUAAUACCGCAUAAGCCCACAGCUCGGCAUCGAGCAGAGGGAAAAGGAGCAAUCCGCUUUGAGAUGGCCUCGCGUCCGAUUAG
rnacentral:rRNA from 1 species